AGGAAUGUAGUCUUAUGUGCGCCCAUCGGAAAGUGAUGGAGCUCUGCCGUUGUUACUACAUUUCAGGGAGAAUAAACUUCAAUGUGACCAAGGGACAUUUACUUGGUCCUGCCUUUUUGACUAUCAAAGGACUGGAGCGUUUGCAUAACUGAUGAAGAAAAAGCGUGCGCAUAUAAAGCUGACGACGGCACAAUCCCAGAUGAGGAAGAGGAUUGCAAUUGUCAGCCAGAAUGCAAUCAUUUCGGCUUCUAUAGCAGUGUGUCAACCGCCCCCUUUCCAACACCAAACUAUAGGCCUGAGUUCUUGAGCAAUUACAAUUUUACCGACGGUCAGGAAGUCACGAAGUUGGUGGUGUACUUCAACAGCAUGGAAGUCGAAGUGCUAAAAGAGGAGCCACGG